GUGUAAAGCACAAAAUAUCCUAAAAACCCUGGAACCCAUUUGAUCUUGGUAAGCUAAGCAGGGUCAGUCCUGGUUAGUAUUUUAAUAGGAGACCACCAAUGAAUGCCAUGCCCUAUAUGCU
rnacentral:rRNA from 11 species